AGCCAAUCUCAUUCGGAUUGUAGGCUGCAACUCGCCUACAUGAAGUUGGAAUCGCUAGUAAUCGCGAAUCAGAAUGUCGCGGUGAAUACGUUCCCGGGUCUUGUACACACCGCCCGUCACACCACGAGAGUUUACAACACCCGAAGUCAGUGGCCUAACCGCAAGGAGGGAGCCGCCUAAGGUGGGGUAGAUGAUUGGGGUGAAGUCGUAACAAGGUACC
rnacentral:rRNA from 1 species